rnacentral:rRNA from 1 species
AACACAUGCAAGUCGAACGGAUCCUUCGGGGUUAGUGGCGGACGGGUGAGUACACGUGGGAACGUGCCCUUUGGUUCGGAACAACUCAGGGAAACUUGAGCUAAUACCGGAUGUGCCCUUCGGGGGAAAGAUUUAUCGCCAUUGGAGCGGCCCGCGUCUGAUUAGCUAGUUGGUGGGGUAAAGGCCCACCAAGGCGACGAUCAGUAGCUGGUCUGAGAGGAUGAUCAGCCACAUUGGGACUGAGACACGGCCCAAACUCCUACGGGAGGCAGCAGUGGGGAAUCUUGCGCAAUGGGCGAAAGCCUGACGCAGCCAUGCCGCGUGAAUGAAUGAAGGUCUUAGGAUUGUAAAAUUCUUUCACCGGGGACGAUAAUGACGGUACCCGGAGAAGAAGCCCCGGCUAACUUCGUGCCAGCAGCCGCGGUAAUACGAAGGGGGCUAGCGUUGCUCGGAAUUACUGGGCGUAAAGGGAGCGUAGGCGGACUGUUAAGUUAGAGGUGAAAGCCCAGGGCUCAACCUUGGAAUUGCCUUUGAUACUGGCAGUCUUGAGUACGGAAGAGGUAUGUGGAACUCCGAGUGUAGAGGUGAAAUUCGUAGAUAUUCGGAAGAACACCAGUGGCGAAGGCGACAUACUGGUCCGUUACUGACGCUGAGGCUCGAAAGCGUGGGGAGCAAACAGGAUUAGAUACCCUGGUAGUCCACGCCGUAAACGAUGAGUGCUAGUUGUCGGCAUGCAUGCAUGUCGGUGACGCAGCUAACGCAUUAAGCACUCCGCCUGGGGAGUACGGUCGCAAGAUUAAAACUCAAAGGAAUUGAC